CUAAGUUCAGCGGGUAUUCCUACCUGAUCCGAGGUCAACCUUGGUUAAAGAUGGGGUCUUUAACGGCAGGAGCGCGCCGCGCCUCCCUAGCGAGAUAAUGAAUUACUACGCUCGGAGUUGCAGCGAGCCCGCCACUUCCUUCAGGCCUACGGCAGCCGUAGGGCCCCAACACCAAGCAGGGCUUGAGGGUUGAAAUGACG
rnacentral:misc_RNA from 1 species